UACGUAGGGUGCAAGCGUUAAUCGGAAUUAUCUGGGCGUAAAGCGUGCGCAGGCGGUUUUGUAAGUCUGUCGUGAAAUCCCCGGGCUUAACCUGGGAAUUGCGAUGGAGACUGCAAGGCUAGAAUCUGGCAGAGGGGGGUAGAAUUCCACGUGUAGCAGUGGAAUGCGUAGAGAUGUGGAGGAACACCGAUGGCGAAGGCAGCCCCCUGGGUCAAGGAUU
rnacentral:rRNA from 1 species